rnacentral:rRNA from 1 species
AUGGCAGCACCAUCUUCAUCUGCAGAACGUGCAGUCGUCGCCGAUCCACCGCUCAGGCCAGAAUCUGGCUGUCUUGGGGCCCAGUUGUACUCCAUCCGCCCCAUGGAGUUGGGCAGUAAUUCAUCAUCCACCGACACGUAUCUUGGUGUCGUCCGGGAAGACCUUUCCUUCGAUGGCGCCGUUGACCUCGCCUACGAGCCGUAUUGGCGAAAUUUGGAGUUCCUACAAGUUAUUAAGUAUUGGGCGAAAUUUGGAGUUCCUUAUGUGCCUCCCACGCUCACGCCAUCCGAUUCAUGUCAGGGAGGUUCUUACCAAAUGUCUCCACACAAGCUUUGUGGAUUGGAACUAGGAGUGCAAAUUAGUUUUCUCUAUUAA